GGGAUAGUUCAGUCGGUAGAGCAUGAGACUCUUAAUUUCAGGGUCAUGGAUUCGAGUAUCACGUUGGGUGCA